CGCGUUAAUUCGUGUCUGGUUAGCCAGGGAGAGAUAAAAGUUUUCGAACUAAAUCAAUUGUUGUGAACGGGGUUUCCCAUUGAUAACAAAAAACAUGGCGGCUAUUUGUUAGUAGGUCCCGCUUCAAGAUUUCAAAAUCAUCAAACGUUCCAGAAAUGCAACAACUGUAAAAACUUUCAACGCGGUUUUGUUCAUAUGGAUGGGAACAAACACAUGUGUAUGCAUUUUUGAAUAUAAAAGUUUUGUGGCGGUACUUGGCAAGCAAUUUUCUCACACUUUACUGUGGCUAUUGGUGCUGAUCUUGAACUAAAGGUAAAUGGAACAGCAUGGAUGUGGAUUUUUAGACACAAGGAAGCUGAAUUUAACUUUUAAGAAAGAAUUUAAAUGAUGAUUGUCCAUGAAAAGAAAUAUUAAUC